rnacentral:tRNA from 1 species
AGAGGCAUAGCUCAAGAGGUAGAGCACUUGCCUAACAUGUAGGAGGCCCUGGGUUCAAUCUCCAGUGCACUG